AUAUAUAGUUGAGCUGGAAUACUAUUGAUAGCAAAAUACCCUUUUUGCUAUGAAGUUUUUAACCAUUGGAUACAAAAUUGUAGGGUUAGGAUCAUAUUAGUUCCUUAGAGUUGAGUGGUCUCCCUAGGGUUGAGUGGUUCCCACUGGGUUAUAAUAUUUAAUCCAAUGGUUAGAAAUGAUGAAAAAAAUUGAUCCAAAAGCUAAAAACUUAAUAGCAAAAGGGCAUUUUGCUAUCAAUAGUAUUCUAGCCCAACUCUAUCUCUCUCUCUCUAUAUAUAUAUAUAUAUAUAUAUAUUUAUUUCUCUUUCUUCUUUUUUCUUCUUUUUUCCUCUGCACUCCGCAUCUUCUCGCACUACGACGUCCCCUUCCUAGCUCUCUAUUUCUUCCAUCGCAUGUUCUACAACUAUUUCCCCUGCUCUUGUCCCGACAUACUCUCUAUCCUCAUUAUUCUUAAAUCCUAUAGCAUUCUCGCAGCCGUCGCCAUCCACGGCCACGUCCUUCGUUGAGGCCUUGCCACAGAGCUCUUCAUCCAGAAUGACCUCAUUGCUGUCUAUAUAUUGGGAUGAGAUAAGCUGGUAGAAACGCAACGGCGGGGGUGGAGACGUCGGCGUGGUAGGCUGAAAGGAGCAUGGCGAUAUCGGAGCGGUAGAGGAGGAGAAGGAGAGAGAUUAAGCAGGGGGAGAGAAACGUAUAAGAGAGAAAUAAGAGAGAAAAAAAAGAAGAUAAUUUGAUCACUUUUUAAAUAUC
rnacentral:lncRNA from 1 species